GUGCACAUUCCAUUGACUUGCUUUCUUUUUCUGAGCAAUGUUGUUUGUCAUAUGCUACAUAAUAGUUGAAGGUUGAUUAGCAGUAUAAAUGAAAAAUAAUAUUGCCAGUCUCCUUCAGACAGUU